AGGGAGACCUUACCCUUCUAACUCUGAAUUGAGUAAGAGUAGAUAGAGGUUAUCUCAAGGUCGGUCGAGGUUAUAUGUGUUAGCUUCCAAAUUUUGCUCUGGUUUUAAUUAACCAGUACGGGCUAUUAGCUCAGAUGGUUAGAGCGCACCCCUGAUAAGGGUGAGGUCCCUGGUUCGAGUCCAGGAUGGCCCACCUUUGCUAUCGCUAGGGGGUUUAGCUCAGUUGGUAGAGCGCCUGCUUUGCAAGCAGGAUGUCAGCGGUUCGAGUCCGCUAACCUCCACUGAUAAAUUUCAGCAACUCAUGAUGUCUAGUAGAGACUUCAUAGCCUGCUGGAUAUUUUAUCCAGUCA
rnacentral:tRNA from 1 species